UCUUUAUAAUAAAUUUAUUUUAAUAAAUUAUUUUAUUUAAAUUAAUAGUUUUAAUAUUAAAUUAUUUUAUUGGGGUGAUACAAAAAUUUAACUAACUUUUUUAUUAAAAUUUCUUAAAUUAAAGAUUUAUAAAAAUAUGAUCUAUUAUUAAUAAUUCAGAGAAUAAGA
rnacentral:rRNA from 1 species